CCCUUAGAUGUUCUGGGCCGCACGCGCGCUACACUGAUGCAUUCAACGAGCCUAUCCUUGACCGACAGGUCCGGGUAAUCUUUUAAUCUGCAUCGUGACGGGGAUAGAUUAUUGCAAUUAUUAAUCUUCAACGAGGAAUGCCUAGUAGGCGCAAGUCAUCAGCUUGCGUCGAUUACGUCCCUGCCCUUUGUACACACCGCCCGUCGCUCCUACCGAUUGGGUGUGCUGGUGAAAUGUUCGGAUCGGCCGUUUGUCGCGGUUUCCGCGGCUCGUGGCUGAGAAGUUCAUUAAACCCUCCCACCUAGAGGAAGGAGAAGUCGUAACA
rnacentral:rRNA from 1 species